rnacentral:rRNA from 1 species
GACAGAGGGUGCAAACGUUGUUCGGAAUUACUGGGCGUAAAGCGCGUGUAGGCGGCUCGGCAAGUCGGGUGUGAAAGCCCUGGGCUUAACCUAGGAAGUGCACUCGAAACUGCCAAGCUUGAGUUCUGGAGAGGAAGGCGGAAUUCUCGGUGUAGAGGUGAAAUUCGUAGAUAUCGAGAGGAACACCGGUGGCGAAGGCGGCCUUCUGGACAGCAACUGACGCUGAGACGCGAAAGCGUGGG